UACGUAGGGUGCAAGCGUUAAUCGGAAUUACUGGGCGUAAAGGGCGCGUAGGCGGUCAGCACAAGUCAGUUGUGAAAUCUCCGGGCUUAACCCGGAAAGGUCAACUGAUACUGUGCGACUAGAGUGCGGAAGGGGCAACUGGAAUUCUCGGUGUAGCGGUGAAAUGCGUAGAUAUCGAGAGGAACACCUGCGGCGAAGGCGGGUUGCUGGGCCGACACUGACGCUGAUGCGCGAAAGCCAGGGGAGCGAACGGG
rnacentral:rRNA from 1 species